rnacentral:rRNA from 1 species
UGCAAGUCGAACGCGAAAGCCCGCAAGGGGUAAGUAGAGUGGCAAACGGGUGAGUAACACGUGGGUGACCUGCCUUAGAGUGGGGGAUAACGUCCCGAAAGGGACGCUAAUACCGCAUAACAUCCUGCCUUUGAAGAGGUGGAGAUCAAAGCUGGGGACCGCAAGGCCUGGCGCUCAAAGAGGGGCCCGCGCCUGAUUAGCUAGUUGGUGAGGUAAUGGCUCACCAAGGCAACGAUCAGUAUCCGGCCUGAGAGGGCGGACGGACACACUGGGACUGAGACACGGCCCAGACUCCUACGGGAGGCAGCAGUGGGGAAUUGUUCGCAAUGGGCGCAAGCCUGACGACGCAACGCCGCGUGGAGGAUGAAGACCUUCGGGUCGUAAACUCCUUUCGAUCGAGACGAACAGCCAUCGGAUGAACAAUCCGGAGGUCUGACGGUACCGAGAGAAGAAGCCCCGGCUAACUCCGUGCCAGCAGCCGCGGUAAUACGGGGGGGCAAGCGUUGUUCGGAAUUACUGGGCGUAAAGGGCUCGUAGGUGGCCAACUAAGUCAGACGUGAAAUCCCUCGGCUUAACCGGGGAACUGCGUCUGAUACUGGAUGGCUUGAGUUCGGGAGAAGGAUGCGGAAUUC